rnacentral:rRNA from 1 species
AUUGAACGCUGGCGGCAGGCUUAACACAUGCAAGUCGAGCGAGCGGCGGACGUGUGUGUAACGUCUGGGAAACUGCCUGAUGGAGGGGGAUAACUACUGGAACCGGUAGCUAAUACCGCAUACCAUCAGAUGUGCCCAGAUGGGAUUGGCUAGUGGGUGGGGUAAUGGCUCACAUAGGCGACGCUCCCUAGCUGGUCUUAGAGGAUGACCGGCCACACGGGAACUGAGACACGGUCCGAACUCCUACGGGAGGAAGCGUUGGGGAUUAUUGCAAAAGGGGCGCAGGCCUGCUGCAGCCCUGCCGGGUGGGGGAGGAGGGCCUUCGGGUUGUAAAGUACUUUCAGCGAGGAGGCGUUACUCACAGAAGAAGCGCCGGCUAACUCCGUGCCAGCAGCCGCGGUAAUUC